GCCCCCUCCUGCCCCUGUCGGCCCCGAGGCGAGCUCACCUUGCGGGCGCAUCCAGGGGAAGAGCUGUGUGGGCGACGGGCUCUGCUCGGAGCCCUCGGCCUCCUCGCCCAGGCCGCUGGCGGCGGCAAGCUUGCAGUCUGCGUACUGCACCAGGUCUGGAUCCUGCGCACCGAAUAGGCUCUGGCGUUGCAGCGGGUCGUAGCCGUAGAAAUUGCCGGGGUCCCCGUGGCACGCCACGGCGCACGGAGGUCCCUUCUCUGCCCUGCCCUCUCUGCCCUGCCCUGGCCAG
rnacentral:lncRNA from 1 species